GGACUACACGGGUAUCUAAUCCUGUUUGCUACCCACGCUUUCGUGUCUCAGCGUCAGUGAUGGUCCAGAAAGCUGUCUACACCGCAGGUGUUCCUCCUGAUAUCUACGCAUUUCACCGCUACACCAGGAAUUCCGCUUUCCUCUCCCAUACUCCAGCCAUCCAGUUUCCCGCGCACCCUCCCAGUUAAGCCGGGAGAUUUCACACGGAACUUAGAGAACCGCCUACACACUCUUUACGCCCAGUAAUUCCGAACAACGCUUGCUGCCUACGUAUUACCGCGGCGGCUGGCAC
rnacentral:rRNA from 1 species